AUAUAUAUAUAUUUUUUAUUUUUUAAAUUUCGGAUUAAUUAAAACACAAAAAUUUAAAAAGCUAUUUACCAAAUCGACCCGAUGACAAAAAAAUUUUUUUCCCUAUCCACCUCUUAGAUAAUGAGUUUGUUGCUAUUUCUGUUGAACCACACCCAAGUUUCAGUCAUGUUCAUUAAUGUUCAAGUCAGAAAUUGUAAUGGAGAUCGUUCGUUCUUCAGUCACCUUCGUGCAACCUCUACGUCAAACGGGAACUUCGAAAGCUUUAUAUAUUUUUUAUCGUUUUCGAACUGGUUUUCUAAUUGUUGGAAAUGUUUUCUUUCCAUUUUCUUUUGAUUCCCAGUUUCUUGAUUAAGUUUCUUCACAGCGUGAAUGAGACGUAUAAAGGCGACAAAACACAGCGAAGUCCGAAGACGAUAUAUAUAUAUAUAUAUAUAUAUAUAUAUAUA
rnacentral:lncRNA from 1 species